GGGGCCAUAGCUCAGUUGGUAGAGCGCCAGCUUUGCAAGCUGGAUGUCGUCGGUUCGACCCCGACUGGCUCCACCA
rnacentral:tRNA from 3 species